rnacentral:rRNA from 1 species
ACUCCAUUCCGAACUCAGAAGUGAAACGAAAUAGCGCCGAUGGUAGUGUGGGGUUUCCCCAUGUGAGAGUAGGACAUCGCCAGGU